CAGUGCGAUCAUACAAGCACUAAUGCACCGGAUCCCAUCAGAACUCCGCAGUGAAGUGUGCCUGGGCGAGAGUAGUAUUAGGCUAGGUAACCUCCUGGGAAGUCCUCGUGUUACACCCC
rnacentral:rRNA from 1 species